CGGAGCCGCACCUGCCUCGCCACCCACCCCGCUCCUGGGCUUCGAUGAAUGGAGGCGAACGGCGCCUAGGGAGGCACGGCCCCGAAGAAGGCAGCUCCGGACUCAUGAAGGCAAUAUUCACCCUUCCAGCAAGAAAGUAGCAAGAAAUUGAGCCACCAACCUCUGCUGGACCAGAGGACUUUGGAUGGCACCUUUUCAGUUUUCCAGUUUAACCAGGGAAGGUGCUUUUAACACUGUAUUUCAGUAUAACCCUAACCCUGGGACAAGUAAUACCCGUGCUCAUGGAGUGGAGCUGCAGUUAAUUAGCCACAUUUAAUGAUAUGAAUAUGACAACAAUGAAUAUUGCUUUUUGUCACUGUUCAAACUUCUCCAGCUAACCCUGUCCUUCCAUAAAACAGAAUUCGAACCCCUCUGUCCACAGGUACUAAACUGCAGAAAAUAACCUGGAGAUCUGAGUCUAAAAUAGUAUUUUGUGUUCACAUCUGAAGAGUUUAAGAAAGUAAAUCUCCUUGGUAAUGUAAAAACAGCAAUGCUCCCUUGAGUUUAUUGCACUACAUCUGGCAAUGACUACACACUGAAAGUGAUUAAAUAUAACUGACUGCUUUAUGAGUGACAUUUUCUCAAUCAGCUUUUUAUAACAUGAUUAAUUAGACUUUAGAGACUGAAAAUAAUGAUAAAUCCUUUCCUUUAUUCUAACAGCAAGAUGCUGGGCCUCUAGAUGAGAGAGAAUAAAGAUGAAUGCAGAAAAAAAUGCUCUUCUGCCCAAAAGGAACAAGAAAAAAACCCCCAGAAGAUCUCUUUGAAGUUCAAGAACUUAUAAUUUAGGUGUUCAAUACAGAAAAAACUCAUACCAAGCUGUCUGCAGAUACCAAGUAAUAGUAAGCUCUGCUCCUAAACAGCUUAACACAAUCCAUGAAAAGUCAUACACACAUGCAUCCAUCAUAUGCACAUGCAUACAUGUGCAAUUUCAAAUGGUAAGGAUGAAAUAGGAAUGAAGGAUUAAUGAGUUACUGUUUAUCCACCCAAAAAUAACUUGAGGUCUUCAAAACAUUUUUUUUCUUAGUCUUCAUAUAUUGUAUUGCUGUAAAAAUGCAAAAUUCACUUUUAACUCCUGAAUUAUGCAUUUCUAGAUCCUGUGGUUGAGGAGGUAAUAAAUCUGAACAUUGGAAAAAACAAAUGUAGCAUAUGCCACAGGAAUAUUCUACUUUGUGAUUGAGUUCAGUGUUGGUUUUUUUUUUGUUCCUCUGUUUACUGAUCGUUUAUCUCUUGCACUGCAGUUUGCCUCUCGAAGAUGACACAAACAAUGCUGUAUUUUGCUUUGCUUUUCUAAAAAGUGGGAAGUAAAAGAUGUAUAGGUACCACAAGGCCUGCAGCAGGUCAAUUCAGAUGAGCCAAAUGUAAUGGCCACAGGGCUAUCUGGAAUCCACCCCAACCAGCACUGCCCCAGGCAGCAAGUGUUCUGAUACUGCCUAUAUGCCCACUCUUCCUCUCAGAUCCCGUCAAGAAGCUUGAUUAUCUGAACACCACACCUGGUCAGGGCUGGGCAAAUAAAACUGGCUUGGAAUCAAGGGGUUUUGUGGUUACAGAGUAAGUUUUCUGUUAAUGUGAAAUCUCUUGGGUAUGCUGUAAAGCCUGGUGAUUUCCUUUAUAACAUGAGCUCUUUUUCCAAACUAGUAGCAAUUGCUAGAUCUACAGGACCAGAAAGAUUAAUUUUGAUGGAAGAUUCAAACACAAACAAAGGAAGUAAUUUAUAUAUACUACAUGCAAACCGAAGUUCAGACACACUCUCAUUUUAUGUAGUGACCUCCUGAUAAUAUCCCAGAGAGCUCUGUGAAAUAACAGUAGCAGCCUACUGCCUUCAUGGAACAAGGGACUGGCAGUUUUCUAAAGCAAUGUCGACCUCAAUUCUUACCUCUCAUUCUGUAAGCAGAAUAAUUCUUCAAGGACCUGUAGGAUACCUGCAUAAGGUGAGGUCACUAUCACUACGGGAAGAUGAAGCCCUGAUUCAAAGAGAAGACUGAUGAGAUGGAGCACUUUAUAGCUGCUACUGCAUCAAUGACACAAUUAGGUAUAUAUGAGUCUGUAUUUCUGUCAAGGAAACAGAAGGCAGAAAUAUGCAGGAGUAGGGGGAACAUGCCACACAACACAUGCACAAUUGUCCAAAACAUCCAAGACUGCAUGUGUUGCUCAGAGACCAAGUGUACCAUACAGUACCAUACAGUCUGUAAGAGCAAAUAUGAACUUCAUAUGCUUCGAGGACGUGCUGGGCUACCAGACCACAUAUGGACUGCACUGGGCAAUACAAGUGAGGGGAGAAAAAAUGAAUUUAAUGUUCUCUUAAUUUGCCCUGUUCCUUGAUAAACUUAUAUGCGAAUAUCAUAUGAUUUCCUGCACCCUCUGUUCUCCUCAAAGAACAAACCUAAUUCAAGCUUCCUUAAGUGGAUGGGAUCUACUAUUAAAGAAAAAAGAAAAGACUGUUUCUGCCAGGAUAUUUCUGCUUUGCUGAUCACAAAAGCAUGCUUUAUAUUUUCAGAUUUCCAGAGACAGAAAGGAAGAUAGACAUUUUUCAACAGUGACAGAACCAUCUAAAUACUUGUGUACUAAGAGCAGUUUAACCUCCUCAUUGUAAAUCAAGGAAUAUUUUGUAGCUUUAGCGCCCUUAAAUGGAUAUUCAAAGUUUAGCCACUAGCCAACUACUAUAAUACUCUUAAAUAAAAGACAGUUGAGAUACCAGAACAUAAUUUAAACAUUUAGAACUAGUAGUACCAUUAUAAUACAAAAUUAUUAAUAAAAAUAGACAUUUUUAUAGUGAGAAUGUAUUUAAGACAUCUUUGUGUCAGAAGGAGUUGCCUAACACAACUCUAAUAAAGUACUCUUUACAGCGUGUACAUUGCUGAACUGUAGAUACUCAUUUGAGCAUCCUGUAUGCUACAGGCAACAAACCCCCCCAUAUAUUACAAAGACUAUUAUACAACAAACCAUAUCAAAUGCAAAAUCACUUCAUUAUAAACUAUUAUUGCUAUAUUCAUUUCAAAAGUACAAAAUUAUUAAUUAUAUACAAAAAAGCCUCCCCAGAAUUUUGGUAAUUAGCAUAACAUUUCAGUUUCUUUAAUUGCUUCCAUUAGAGUAAUUUGUUCAUUUUAUUAACACCAGAUGCAAUAACACAAUGCUAAAAAUAAACAUGCAUUUUACAACAAAUU